GUGAAAUGAGAUCCAGUCACUGAACCUACAUUGUCAUUGGCGUGAGAAGCGGUUGUAAGGGGCCAGGCAGCCAGUGCAGGCUUGAUCCCAGUCAUGUCACCCCUUUGCUUCUAUCUUACAGUGUCUUGAGAUGUCGUGCACAGCUGUCUUCGACGCACGUGCAUGAGAGGAUCACAACACACAAUUCACAGAAUUCAACGCGUGUUCACUACAGUACCACGACUGUUGUAUUCCAAAGAUGAACGAAGGUCUUAUGGGUCUGGGACGACACGAGGGUGAGUAAUUAAUGACAGAAUUUACAUUUUUGGGUGAACUAUCCCAGAUAAUAUAACACGAUAAUAUAUAUUGCAAAGUGUGUUUUUACUUGGUAUAAGUUGG